GCUGAUGUAGCUCAGUUGGUAGAGCACUUCCUUGGUAAGGAAGAGGUCAUCGGUUCAAGUCCGAUCAUCAGCUCCG
rnacentral:tRNA from 1 species